CUUCAAGUCGGUGCUCUAGACAGAUGCCAGAGUUUCCUACUUGGAAUUCCAAGUUGGAUGACGGUUCAAAACUAAUUUUCCCACAUUUGUAGUUAUCUUGAACACACUGAAGUCGGAUAUUUCCGAGUUCCCAGGUGUUUUGAACGAUGCGCAAUCAAAGCGUUUGCUACUAAACUUGACAAUGGCCUAAUGUCACGAAAAAUAUAACAAGUUAAUACGUGUGUUUAAUUCAACUAGCUAGUUAUGGAUGAAUAUUAUGAAAGUAUUGUUUUCCGAAGUGAAAGAGUCGAGGAUAACGUGUCUUUAGCUGUGGCUACUGACGACUCCGCACUGGUAAAGGCCUAUGAAGACGGGCUCCGAACAUUUCGGAGCUGUAAUGAUGAAAAAGAGAGCAAAGAGAAGCUUGGAAACAACCCACCGAAAUUGACAGACUCAAAACUCCCCAAAUCUCAUGUGUUGAGUAAGGAGCCGGUUGAACCAAAGGCAAACUCAAAGAGGGCUGAAAAAGAGAGCGGUGAGAAGCUUGCAGACAAUCCGCAGACGCUGUCUGAAUCAUAUGUGCCGACCAAAGGACCAGUUGACCCGAAGACAAACUCAAAGGUGUGGAGGCUGGGAUACCGGUGUCGUACGGUGUACUCCGAGGAUGGCCUGGUUUACCCAGCGGUGCUGGUGUGGUUGAGGGGCGAACGCUGCCGGGUGAAGUUUGAAGGCUACGGGAAUGAGGAAGAGCUGGAGCUGAGCAGCCUGCUAUCUCCAGUAGAACUGGGAGGCCACAGAGGAAGAGUUGAUGCCAAAGUGCAACAAGGGGCUGUUGAUGGGUUCAGCUCCACUAGUAACAACAUUGCUGAUUGGAAGAGGAUGGAAAGAGUUUGGAGGACAGCUCAACAAGAGGGACGAGAGGAGCUGUCCUCACCUCAGCCACCUAAGUUUGCUCCAGGAAAAGACUAUGGCAAAAGCAGCUAUGACUUUGGCAAGGAGCAUGGGGAUAAGAAGAAGCCAAGUGGCCGGCGAGAGGUACCAAACAAUCACCCCUUUUCCUUCUUUCCUCCAGUGCCACCGCCCAAGGACUCUCUGGCAAUGCAACAGACGAAAACAAGUCGCAGGAGGGCUGAUAAAGAGAAACAGGCAGAGGAAUAAGGUAAAGUGAUCUACCUUCAUGCGGUUUCAAUUCCAAUUCCACUGCUUUAUCAAAGGUUAUUUUAAAUAUUUGAAUUGGGAUGUGGGAUGGCACUAUCUAUCGAUUAAAACUGUAGGUUUAUUUGAAUCUUAUAAAAGUAAAGGCCUAAGUUUUGCAGUCACUGAAGAUUGCAGGCUGAGUAAUUCUCGUAUGAGGAUAUAUUAGGACUGAAGAUACCACCCUGGGGAAUUCCACAGGUAGGCUAUGUACUAUUAAGCUCUCAUAACUGCCUGCCUGUUCCCUUUCUAAUGGGUUUUUAAUUGUAUUUAUUUAUUUCACCUUUAUUUAACCAGGUAGGCAAGUUGAGAACAAGUUCUCAUUUACAAUGGCGACCUGGCCAAGAUAAAGCUAAGCAGUUUGACACAUACAACAACACAGUUACACAUGGAGUAAAACAAACAUACAGUCAAUAAUACGGUAGGAAAAUAAGUCUAUAUACAAUAUGAGGAAAUGAGGUGAGAUAAGGGAGGUAGAGGCAAAAAAAGGCCAUGGUGGUGAAGUAAAUACAAUAUAGCAAGUAAAACACUGGAAUGGUAGAUUUGCAGUGUAAAAAUGUGCAAAGUAGAGAGAGAAAUAAUGGGGUGCAAAGGAGCAAUAUAAAAUAAAUAAAUACAGUAGGGGGAGAGGUAAUUGUUUGGGCUAAAUUAUAGAUGGGCUAUGUACAGGUGCAGUAAUCUGUGAGCUACUCUGACAGCUGGUGCUUAAAGCUAGUGAGGGAGAAGUGUUUCCAGUGUCAGAGAUUUUUAUAGUUCGUUCCAGUCAUUGGCAGCAGAGAACUGGAAGGAGAGGCGGCCAAAGGAAGAAUUGGUUAUGGGGGUGACCAGAGAGAUAUACCUGUUGCAGCGCGUGCUACAGGUGGGUGAUGCUAUGUUGACCGGCGAGCUGAGAUAAGGGGGGACUUUACCUAGCAAGGUCUUGUAGAUGACCUGGAGCCAGUGGGUUUGGCGACGAGUAUGAAGUGAGGGCCAGCCAACGAGAGCGUACAGGUUGCAGUGGUGGGUAUUAUAUGGGGCUUUGGUGCCAAAAUGGAUGGCACUGUGAUAGACUGCAUCCAAUUUAUUGAGUAGGGUAUUGGAAGCUAUUUUGUAAAUGACAUCGCUGAAAUUGAGGAUCGGUAGGGUGGUCAGUUUUACAAGGUUAUGUUUGGCAGCAUGAGUGAAGGAUGCUUUGUUGCAAAAUAGGAAGCCAAUUCUAGAUUUAACUUUGGAUUGGAGAUGUUUGAUGUGAGUCUGGAAGGAGAGUUUACAGUCUAACCAGACACCGAGGUAUUUGUAGUUCUCCACAUAUUCUAAGUCAGAACCAUCCAGAGUAGUGACGUUGGACGGGCAGGCAGGUGCAGGCAGCGAUGGAGAGUUGUAUGGCAUUGAAGCUCAUCUGGAGGGUUGUUAGCACAGUGUCCAAAGGGCCAGAAGUAUACAGAAUGAUGUCGUCUGCGUAGAGGUGGAUCAGGUUUAAGACCCAAGAUUGGGGAAGAAGAGGAAAGAGCUGUCCUGUUGCAACAGGACAAGAGUUCCAAAGACUGAAUGAUCGUGUACUACACAGAGGUAGUCUAAUUUUGGGCUCUGUGGGAUGCAUCACAGUUUGCAGGUUUUUUUCUUACUGAAAAUGUGUGUUUUGACAAGAAGGUGAUGUGGAUAAGCAGUUAGGGGUAUGUUGACCCUAGUUCAAUAUGGCGUUAACUUUGCUCUUUAAGAGGCUUUUUGGAAAACUAUCUUUACUUUUCAGUUUUUGACACUUUUCAGUUUUUUUUAUACUGUUGAUAAAAGGUUUGCCAAGGAUAGUUUUUGGGGGAAAGAGAAAAUAAUGGGAUGCUAGUUUUUGGUCAAGUGGAAACCAUUAGAAUGAAUUGUUGAUCCCUCAGCUGUUGUCAGGAAAUGUUGGUUUCAGUUCAUUUGAGGAAUUUAUUUUACUGCUGUACAUUGCAAAUAUAUUGAACAUUGCCGUACUGCCAAAUUCUCUAAAACAAGGUUUGAGGCAGCAUAUGGUAAAAUAUAAAAUUCUCUGGCAACAGCUCUGGUGGACAUUCCUGCAGUCAGCAUGCCAAUUGCAGGCUCCCUCAAAACAUUGAGACAUCUGUGGCAUUGUGUUGUUGUUUUUUAGAGUGGCCUUUCAUUGCCCCCAGCACAAGGUGCACCUGUGUAAUGAUCAUGCUCAUCAGCUUCUUGAUAUGCCACACCUGUCAGGUGGAUGGAUUAUCUUGGCAAAGGAGAUGCUCACUAACAGGGAUGUAAACAAAUUUGUGCACAUAUCAAGAAUAAGCUUUUUGUCUGUAUGGGACAUUUCUUCUGUGAUCUUUUAUUUCAGCUCAUGAAAUAUGGGACCAAUACUUUACAUGUUGCGUUUUAUAUGUUUGUUCAGUAUAUAUUCGGACAAUCUGGGUGCUGUUUUCCCUGUUUCAGGACAUCUGGAAUACAUUGUUGACCAAUGGUCAUGCUUCACUGAUGUCUGCUUACUGAUAAGGAAGUUUGUGUUCAAUUAUUUCAGACUUGUCACUUGCUUUUUUUUGUCAAGAGAAAAGGAUUACGACCAAGUCACAUGCCUUGGAAUUUUGUUAUGCAUGUUUUAUUUAGAUGCAAUUGAAUAGUAAUUGUUUAAAAGGAUAGCAGACAUGAUAAACAAUAUAAUAUCAGACUGGUGGCAAUUGGGUCUCUCAAACCACCCAGCAUGGUUUACUCAUCUCCUCACCUUUAUCCCUGAGAUUCACCACAUAGUUUUCUUCAGGACGUAAGAACUAUAGUGUCAAUAUUAUGGCAAUUAAUUAAACUGUUUCUCAGAAAUGUGUGAGCGAGUAGGGACUAGUUAAAUUUUUACACUUUUAUUAAACACCAAUGUAAAAAAAAUUGAGAAAAAAAAUUGCAUAUUUUUGCAUCAAGUAUAUGUGCAGCCUAAAUGCAGAAAAUGUGGUUUAAAUCAUUAUUUGAGUCUUAAAUGACACACACCUUCACCAGUCACCACGAAAUUGAACUUUUAAUAAGUCAAUGAUCUGUGUGGAUGACGCAGUGUUCCAGAUAUAACACUGGGGGCCAAUUUGGAACGACUCUUAGGUCAAGGAUGAGGAGAUGGGAAGCAGAUGUGGUUUGACGUAGAUGGUCAAAAGAUCAAAUGACCCUUAGACUCUCAAAAUAGGAUUGAUUUAGUAUCUAUAUUGGGAAUUUGAAUACUGUAGUUAGACAAUUUUAUGUAAAGAGUUCUUUGCAGAAACGCUGUAAGAUUUCUAUGGAUUUUUGUCUAGGAUACACAAUAGCUGCCAAUAUACAGUACCAGUCAAAAGGUUUUUAAAAUGUUUUAUUUUAGUAUUUUCUACAUUGUAGAAUAACAGUUUGAGUUGAAUAAGUUAUGUUCCCCUUAGAAAAUGGCAAAAGCACAUGUAUACAACAAAAAAACAUAAAUCCACACCGUUGCCCUUCUCUCUCCCGUGUCUAUGUACUGACAUGUGGAACUGAUAGAUGCUCACACACACACGUUACAAUUUACACACAUUUCAAAACAUUAACAUGUAAACUGUUUUUUCCCCCCGUUAUGUGUUGGACACCAGUAAGACUUGCUGUCACCAUUGGCGUUGGCUAAUGGGGAUCCUAAUAAAUCAAAUGUAUAGGCAAUGUGAACACAUUUGACUCAACAUGUUACCUGUCAAAUCUUUCCAUCAUUUCAGUGUUAUGAUUAUAGUAACAGAUGAUGUCAAUGAAAAGUUGUUCCAGGUGGUCUGCCAGCCGGAAUACGAGCCCAGACGUCUAGACCUACUGCUGCGCCUGCCCCGCCCGCGUCUCUUUGCUAUCGACCUCCAAUCAGGUUCAGUGCAUUUCAGCACCAUAAUCGGCAGCCAGCUCCUCCUCCUCCGCGCUACCUACUCUGUGUUGGUACUGACGACCAGCUCCCACGACUUUCUGGAAAAAGAAAGGCGCUCCCCUGAAGAAGACUCAAUCCAGACACCAGAUGAAAAAAGAUUAUUGAAAAGUUCUUUAGUUAAUGCUUGCUGGAAUAACAUGAUUAUGUUUUAUAAAGGGUUUAUAGGCCUACCAAUAGGGUUCUAACUUCUAAAAAGUACAUUGCUCAAUGACUUGGACAGAUGGUUUUGUGUGCUAUCAAUUCACACACAUUGAUUGCACGAAUGGACACUAAUGCAUAUAGCUCAUAAUGGUGAAACUGUUGAAACUGUUAGAUUGUCUAUGUUUAUAAGCUACCAUUGCAGACAGAAACAUGGACAUGCCAAACUAAACUUGUUUCUUCUCUGUAGUAAGCAGACAUUGUCCUAGGAUUAGAAGUUUGGUUGGGUUCCCAUGUGUGAUGCGGAUCAACAAUGUGCAGUUGGCAAAGGUGCAAGAAUUGGGAAGUUGUGCGAGUGUUCACGGGGAACGAGGGAAUCGAGGAUGACAGCUACCAUCAGAUCAAUCAUCACACUGUAUGAGGACAAAUUGUGUUUUCUCAAAUGUUUCUCUUUUAGAUAUGUAAAUGUUUAAGAAUUGAAUUAAAUUUUUUGAAGACUUCUCUUUAAUUAAAGAAGUAAACGUC